CAGCAUGUUCCCAAGGGCUGUGGCUGUUUGUGGCCAUGGGAUCUCCAACUGCAUGCUAGAGCAACGUGGAGAGACUUUGACAGCUCAGGUCAACACAGUACCUGCAGCUGCCACUCGCCUUUCCUAUAAAG
ensembl:snoRNA